rnacentral:lncRNA from 10 species
GCUGCCCCGAGGAGGUGUAGAUCGAGCCUCCUGCCGCACACACGUUCGCACGCGGCGGCCGGCGCGCUGGACCGAGAGGUUGGAGCAAUCCAUCCUCCGCGCGCACGAGCUCAGUCCCUACUGCCCCGACAGGUGUGGAACCCGCCGUCCCCGCUAUGGUCCGAGGAAGUGUACAGCACUGCUCCCUACUACACGUCCUGGGCCCGCGGUCCCCGAUGCCCCCCGGAGCUCUGUGCACCUCCACUGAAACGCAAGGAGCAGACAGAACCUACACCAUCCGUGAGGUGUGUGAUUUCCCUUAUAACGCAUUGAGUAGAGUUACCUCUCCGCCCAGGGAUGUGCAUUAACACUUUCUACCGAGAUACUACGUACAGCCCAUAGUCACCGCUGCCCCGUGAAGGUGCCCAACAACCACCUGUAACACACACACCCCUAUCCCAUCGAGGGAGCGGGGAUGCUUAAUGAUACCUAAAAUACACUAAAACUAGGUCCUCCAGCAAACCAGAGACACAAGAACACCACCUACACGACUCAGCACAGCAAAGAUGAAGCUGGACUUGCUAGGUGCUACCAGGCUUGGUCCACCUUUAUUUUACCUAACACUUUCGUAGUACUUGCUGUGUGCCCACAGUUUGCACUGAGUACUUAGCGAAUAUUAAUUUAUUUAAUCCUAAGAACUCUACAUAGUGGGUGCUAUUAACAUUGCCAUUUUAUGAUAAGGAAACUGAGGCACAGAGAAAUUAAGAAAUUUUUUCAACAUCACAUAGAUAGUAGCUAGAGGAGCCUGGAUUCAUUCCGGACAGUCUGGCUUCAGAGUCUGCUCUUAACUCCCUUUCUAUUUACAGCACUGACCAUCUCCAAAACAGUAAUCAUGGUAAUAAAUAACAUUUACACCAUAUCUGUCAGGCCUUACGUAGUGCCCACAUCUUGGCCUCACCUCAUCUGUGACAGGCAUACCCCAGUCACUUGUACCCUUGGAGUAGGUAAGGGAAGAGAAGAAUAUUUUUGAGGGAGAGAAAGAAGCUAACUUCUUAGCAAAGGAGAAAAUAUCCAGGGUCGUCCAGAAUCCAAGCAGGUAACUUCAUUACCACAUCAAGCAUGUUCUCUUUU